UAAGGAAUAUUGGGCAAUGGGCGCAAGCCUGACCCAGCCAUGCCGCGUGCAGGAUGACUGCCCUAUGGGUUGUAAACUGCUUUUAUACGGGAAAAAACCCUCGAACGUGUUCGGGGCUGAUGGUACCGUAAGAAUAAGGAUCGGCUAACUCCGUGCCAGCAGCCGCGGUAAUACGGAGGAUCCAAGCGUUAUCCGGAUUUAUUGGGUUUAAAGGGUGCGUAGGCGGAAUGGUAAGUCAGCGGUGAAAUCUCCCAGCUUAACUGGGAAACUGCCGUUGAUACUGCCAAUCUUGAGUACGGUUGAAGUGGGCGGAAUGUAGCAUGUAGCGGUGAAAUGCUUAGAUAUGCUACAGAACACCGAUUGCGAAGGCAGCUCACUAAGCCGCAACUGACGCUGAGGCACGAAAGCGUGGGGAGCAAACA
rnacentral:rRNA from 1 species